rnacentral:rRNA from 1 species
CAGUGUACCCGCGGCAAGACGGAAAGACCCCGUGAACCUUUACUAUAGCUUGACACUGAACAUUGAGCCUUGAUGUGUAGGAUAGGUGGGAGGCUUAGAAGUGUGGACGCCAGUCUGCAUGGAGCCGACCUUGAAAUACCACCCUUUAAUGUUUGAUGUUCUAACGUUGACCCGUAAUCCGGGUUGCGGACAGUGUCUGGUGGGUAGUUUGACUGGGGCGGUCUCCUCCUAAAGAGUAACGGAGGAGCACGAAGGUUGGCUAAUCCUGGUCG